rnacentral:rRNA from 1 species
UACGGAACCAUCUACAUCGAAUGCGUAUAACUUCUAUUGAAAGGUUCCAGAGUAGGCGCUACAACGCCGAAAUGACCUUCUGACCCUUGUUUCUCACUAUGUUGCUUUGGCGGGUCGACCUGGUUCCGACCCAGGCGGCCGGCGCCCCCAGCCUUAACUGGCCAGGACGCCCGGCUAAGUGCCCGCCAGUAUACAAAACUCAAGAAUUCAUUUUGUGAAGUCCUGAUAUAUCAUUUAAUUGAUUAAAACUUUCAACAACGGAUCUCUUGGUUCUGGCAUCGAUGAAGAACGCAGCGAAAUGCGAUAAGUAAUGUGAAUUGCAGAAUUCAGUGAAUCAUCGAAUCUUUGAACGCACAUUGCGCCCUCUGGUAUUCACGGAGGCAUGCCUGUUCGAGCGUCAUUUCAACCCUCAAGCUCUGCCUGGUAUGGGGCAACGUCCGCUGCGGGACGUGCCUUGAAGAGCUCGGCGACGGCUUCCUACCCUCAAGCGUAGUAGUAAAAUAUCUCGCUUUGGAGUGCUGGGCGAGGGCGGCGGGAUAAUCGACUUUGGGUCUAUUUUUCCAAAGUUGACCUCCGAUCAGGUAGGGAUUCCCCCCUGAAUUUAGGCUAUAAUUAGCCGGGGAAAGC